rnacentral:rRNA from 1 species
AGAGUUUGAUCCUGGCUCAGGACGAACGCUGGCGGCGUGCUUAACACAUGCAAGUCGAACGAGUGCCUUCGGGUGCUAGUGGCGAACGGGUGAGUAACACGUGAGCAACCUGCCCCUGGCUCUGGGAUAGCCUCCGGAAACGGGGAUUAAUACCGGAUAUGACCCUGGCCCGCGUGGGCCUGGGUGGAAAGUUUUUCGGC